rnacentral:rRNA from 1 species
UGCGAGCGUGACGGCGCGAGCAGGUGCGAAAGCAGGUCAUAGUGAUCCGGUGGUUCUGAAUGGAAGGGCCAUCGCUCAACGGAUAAAAGGUACUCCGGGGAUAACAGGCUGAUACCGCCCAAGAGUUCAUAUCGACGGCGGUGUUUGGCACCUCGAUGUCGGCUCAUCACAUCCUGGGGCUGAAGUAGGUCCCAAGGGUAUGGCUGUUCGCCAUUUAAAGUGGUACGCGAGCUGGGUUUAGAACGUCGUGAGACAGUUCGGUCCCUAUCUGCCGUGGGCGCUGGAGAACUGAGGGGGGCUGCUCCUAGUACGAGAGGACCGGAGUGGACGCAUCACUGGUGUUCGGGUUGUCAUGCCAAUGGCACUGCCCGGUAGCUAAAUGCGGAAGAGAUAAGUGCUGA